CACGUAGGAGGCGAGCGUUAUCCGGAUUCACUGGGCGUAAAGCGCGCGUAGGCUGUUGGGUAAGUCGGACGUGAAAGCCCCUGGCUCAACUGGGGGAGGCCGUUCGAUACUGCCCGGCUUGAGGGCGAGAGAGGGAAGUGGAAUUCCCGGUGUAGCGGUGGAAUGCGUAGAGAUCGGGAGGAACACCAGUGGCGAAAGCGGCUUCCUGGCUCGCACCUGACGCUGAUAGCGCGAAAGCGUGGGGA
rnacentral:rRNA from 1 species